CCAGUUGGUGGCGAGUCUCCACUCUUGCCGACUACAUCCCAUUCAUCAGGUUCGACAAUUUAUCCUUCAGCCCACAAGAGGAACCCAACAGAACCAAUGGAUCAGGAUGAAGCAUGACGGAAAGUCGGUGGUGUUUUGAGGGCCAAUCCGAAAGGUGAGGAAAUCUUCAAGGAGUGCACCAAGACUGAAACACUAACCGAUGCAAGGUGUAAACAGAUGGUGAACAUCCUGGCUGCAGAUAUGAUGGAGCUGCAUGGGAGGGUUCCGCCAUCAUGUGUGAUGAGAAAUUACGCCCUGAGAAUUGUGACUUGUUUUCCAUACCUAAAAGAUCCAUUCUCCAAACCUGGAUAUGAUGCUUAGCUUAGCGGCAGUGGCUCAAGAGGUAGAGCAGGUCGUCCAGAAAUCGUAAGGUUGGUUGAUCUUGCUCCCUCCACCCAGUCACUGUUGUGUCCUACACUUCUCCUGGCUCUCAAAGCCGUUCCAAGACUGUUUCUUCAUGAUGGUCCAAAAACCAGAGGAGAAUAUCUGUUAACUGGUCAACAGCUGUUUGGUGAGGAGUGCAGGGAGGCACUAUCUACAAUAAGACAUUCAACUGAUGAAUCCGUGGUCAAAGAAGAUGAGAGCAACUUUCCAGUAUCGACAGAAUAUGAUCCAAGCACAAGAUGUAUCAUCGUCUGUUCUCAAUGUGUUCCCUCGCUUCCUUGAUGUUCCUGGAUUGAUUGACCAGGAUUUCUCAAUGAUGUUUGGUGAUGAAGUAUCUCAGAGGUUCCUGGCUAAGUGGUCAACUGUCUUCAAACCAAAAGUCAUUGCAGACUUCAAGACUCUCCCGCAAAAGCAGAACAUUGAUGAGUUGCUGUCAGGAACUGAACCUCAACCUGAUGACAGCUGUGGGUGAGAAGUUACGGUAUAGAUUACCAUGUUGGUGUGUUCAUAUGUACUGGAUGUAGCUUUGAUCUACCUGUGUUCAAGAAGAUCUGUGAUAUAAUAAAACACAAAGAAUGUGCUUUCAUAAUAGCCUGUAAUGUAGAAACGAUGUACUAUGAGGACCUGUUUAACGCGUACUGCAUAGAAGACCAAAUGCUUGAGUUUUCUGUCAUGUGUUUAAAUGAACUGACUCAUUUCAGACCAUUUGACAAGCAGUGCUCUAAUGACAGUUGUCAAAGAGCAAACAUACUAUAGUGCCCUGCUGUUAUUUAAGCUACUGUCUGUUGGAAAUGAAAUGUUUUUGAAUAAAAUG